CAGUCGCCGCGGUAAUACGAAGGGUGCAAGCGUUAAUCGGAAUUACUGGGCGUAAAGCGUGCGUAGGCGGUGAGUUAAGUCUGCUGUGAAAUCCCCGGGCUCAACCUGGGAAUGGCAAUGGAUACUGGCAAGCUAGAGUGUGUCAGAGGAUGGUGGAAUUCCCGGUGUAGCGGUGAGAUGCGUAGAGAUCGGGAGGAACAUCAGUGGCGAAGGCGGCCAUCUGGGACAACACUGACGCUGAGGCACGAAAGCGUGGGGAGCAAACAGGAUUAGAUACCCCCGUAGUCCCUGUCUCUUAUAC
rnacentral:rRNA from 1 species